UGACUCACCCUGUGAAUUUCAUGUUAGACAUUAUUGACAGAUAACUCGAGAAUUUAACUACAAGUGCAUGGGCUAUUCCUCCAGUUUUUAAUAUACUUUAUGAUCGUACUGCAUGUUUUCACUAAAAAUGGUUCAUACAAUAACGCUUGUCAUAAAAUUAUUGAUAUGAAGAGAAAAAUAAAUAAUGAAAAAGAAAUCAAAACAAAUAGAUAUAAUAAUAUUAAAAUUAUAAUUUUUAAAAGACAAUAUCAUAUUUGGAGACUAAUAUGGCAAACACAAUAUCCAUAAUGUCUAAUGCGUUACGAAAUGUUGUGAGCAAAAAACGCAUACGAUACAAGGAAAAAGGAUUUAAUUUGGAUCUUUCAUACAUUUGCCCGAAAAUAAUUGCGAUGGGAUAUCCUGCUCCGGACAUUAUUGAAGGCAUUUACAGAAAUCGCCUAGAGGAUGUUUAUAAAUUUAUGGAAGAAAAUCAUGGAGGGCAUUACAGAAUAUACAAUCUGUGUCAAGAACGGAGUUAUGACAUUAAUAAAUUUCAUGGGAAUGUUGCAACAUACCCGUUUGAGGAUCACAAUCCUCCUCCUAUUGUACUGAUGCAACGUUUUUGCCAAGACGUUGAAUCCUGGCUUAAUAGAGAUCCGUUAAAUGUCGUAGCUGUGCAUUGUAAAGCUGGAAAGGGAAGAACCGGUACUAUGAUAUGUGCAUACUUGGUUCAUAGUAAGUUCUUGAAUACAGCAGAUGAAGCUUUGGCUUUUUAUGAUGAAAAACGUACAAUAGAUCGGAAAGGUGUUACAAUUCCAUCUCAACGUAGAUAUGUUCAGUAUUAUUCAAAUUUAAUCCCAGAUAUACAUUAUGAAGUAGUCAGUCUUUACAUUUCUGAAAUCCGAUUUGCUGAGGCAAAUUACCUGCAUAAUCUUGGUACAGUGCAAUGUUCAAUUUCCGACAGGCAAGAGUCUGCAUCAGAGAAACUUAAGGCGCAUGAACUGAAAACAUGGCCAAUUGAUUUCCAAAAAACUUCAAUAUUGGACUUAACUAGUUCGCCUUUGAUGGUUUCUGGUGAUAUCAAAGUCGAACUUACUCAAAAGUCAUCAAGAAAGAUGAUUUGCAGUUUUUGGGUUAAUACAUUCUUUAUGCAAAAUGAUGCGGCUCGCAUUCUUGAUGGAAAUACCGUAAAGUUUAUGCAUACCUUAAAUAAAUCCGAGAUUGAUGGUGCACAUAAAGACAAAGACCAUAAAUCGUUUUCGGAGGACUUUAAGAUCUCUCUCGUAUUUAUAAAUGAAGAAAAACGCUCUGACAGUAUAAUCGCUGAAUCCUCAAUAGAUAACAGUAGGAGCAAUAAUCAAAGCUCAGAAAAUCUUCCUGGUGAUAAUAAUACGAAUCUAAGCAGUGAGGGUUCAGUUUUAAACUCUCCGUCCUCAAGUCGUUUGUUUGAAGGUCCAUUUCAUACCAGUGAUGAAAGAAGUGAGGGGCAAUCUCACCUAACAGCACAGAGCAGAAAACUAACUAAAAAUCAACAUAAAAAAUCAACUAUCUCAAAAUAUCCUGCAAUGGCAUCUAAACGCAAACAAUCCUCUUCAAAAUGCCUACUAGGUGCUAAUAAUACCUCGUCAGGCAAGGACAACAAAAAACAGCAUAUUUUUAAUCAACCGUCCCGUAAACAAAUCGAAAUGGUGCCUAAUAAUUGGCCCAGUAACAUCUAUGGAAAAGCCUCAGAGGGUCUACAUAUAUUUGAUCGAUGUAAUAUUUCCAAUAUUUCUGGCGGAGAACAGAAUUCACACAAUACUUACAAACGAUCAUCUUCUGAUUCAAAUCAAAGUGGUGAAGAAGGAGACGAGGAUUGGGAAUCCGCCAUACGACGUGUCACCAAAUCAUGCGAUUUCAUCGUCCACCGCACUUUAAAUGCUAUGAAAUAAAUUAAAAAUAAUCCAAAGAACAGAACGUCUCAUUUAAAAGCUUAGGUUAUGUAGCAGCCAAAAUUGUGGACUUAAUAUCACUAUUGAUCUUAAUUUUCAUAGCUAUGGAGGUAGCUACGUCCGGCACUACGUAAGGAGUCAUAUACCAAAGUGUUCUACUGUAAGAACUGAAACGUCAGAUUCAUCAGUAUAUGUGAUAUUUAUCCGGAGUGAUAUCUACAUCAACCAUGACAAGAGGUGAUAACUCACCACUCCACACUUUUUGGCUGCCAUUAUGUUAUUUAUUUAUUUUUAAAAUGUAAAAUACAACAAGCUUGUACAGUAUAAAUUGUUAAAAAAAAAAAAAAAAAAAAAAAAAAAAAACAGUUAAUUGCACAUUCAUUGUUUUAGUCUAAAUUCAAAUGAUAGGAGUGAAACUUUAAGCUCAAAGGAUCUUGCCAUUGUAUAUUUUUAUACUUCGUUCCUAUAAAUAAAGGCAAAAUGGUAUUGCACAGAUAUGACAUUGAAAAUAAGUUUGUUUAAGUCAUGUCGAAUAUUAAUAUAAGCCUAUGAAGCUGAUUUCUAUGCGAUAGAAACGUUUCCAAGCACUUAAUCGUCAUUUUAGAAAGCGGUUUACAAUUAAAGUGUCGAUUGCUGAUACGCAUACUAAAAUUUCAUUGUGUAUUAUGCAGAUUAUUAUUGGAUUGCCUUUGGAUUGUGUUUUGUCAUUAUAUUUUUGUUUUUACUUAUUAGGAUUGUCGUUGGCUUGUUUUAAUAUUAUUUGAAAAAAUAUUGCUUUGUUUAGUAUUAGUAAUACUUAAAAGACAUAAAUGUGAUUUAUUAAUUUUGUAUUUUGACUGCAAGAAAUUUGAUACCUUAUAGAAAAUAAAUUAAAAAUGGCACCGUGGUUAUUGUUUCAUAGUGGAAUAGAAUAGAAGAGAAAACGCAAAAUACAGUCGAUAAAAUUAUGAUUGUCAACAAUUCUGAAAAUUCUGCUUACAUAAGAAUUGACUAGAUACGUUUGGAACCUGAAGCAAAUUAAUGAUUGUCAAACUUUCUAAUAACUAGCGAUAUUGUCACUGCUGUAAUUAGUUAUAUUGUUCUACGCUUUUUGAAAAAAGAUCAAUACCAUCCUAGAUUACCAUCCAAAAAAUCUUGUUUAAUGAUUUUUAUAAUGGAUAGUCACAUUUAAUGUCUUACUCAUAUAUGUUUUACCUGAUUAAUAACAUAAUAAAUUUGUGGGUUAACUUCGAAGUAUAAUGCAUCGUUGCCACUUCAUCUCAUCUGAA